rfam:Cavia porcellus supercont2_21 genomic scaffold, whole genome shotgun sequence.
GCCGGGUGUGGUGGCGCGCGCCUCUAGUCCCAGCUACUCAGGAGGCUGAGGUGGGAGGAUCGCUUGAGUCCAGGAGAUCUGGGCUGCAGUACGCUAUGCCGAUCGGGUGUCCGCAAGUUAGGCAUCAAUAUGGUGACCUCCUGGGAGCGGGGGACCACCAGGUUGCCUAAGGAGGGGUGAACCGGCCCAGGUCGGAAACAGAGCAGGUCAAAACUCCCGUGCUGAUCAGUAGUGGGAUCUUGAAUAGCCACUGUACUCCAGCCUGGGCAAUAUAGUGAGACCCUGUCUCUA